rnacentral:snoRNA from 1 species
GAUCGCAGUGAUGACUCGGAAAAUUCAAGCUCAACAGACCGGAAUGCAGGCAUCUCCUCUAUUCAUAGAUUUGUUUGCGUGUCGAUUAUCCCGCUGAACUGAGCGAUC